rnacentral:rRNA from 2 species
AAUGGACGCAAGUCUGAUGGAGCAACGCCGCGUGAGUGAAGAAGGCUUUCGGGUCGUAAAACUCUGUUGUUGGAGAAGAAUGGUCGGCAGAGUAACUGUUGUCGGCGUGACGGUAUCCAACCAGAAAGCCACGGCUAACUACGUGCCAGCAGCCGCGGUAAUACGUAGGUGGCAAGCGUUAUCCGGAUUUAUUGGGCGUAAAGCGAGCGCAGGCGGUUUUUUAAGUCUGAUGUGAAAGCCCUCGGCUUAACCGAGGAAGUGCAUCGGAAACUGGGAAACUUGAGUGCAGAAGAGGACAGUGGAACUCCAUGUGUAGCGGUGAAAUGCGUAGAUAUAUGGAAGAACACCAGUGGCGAAGGCGGCUGUCUGGUCUGUAACUGACGCUGAGGCUCGAAAGCAUGGGUAGCGAACAGGAUUAGAUACCCUGGUAGUCCAUGCCGUAAACGAUGAAUGCUAGGUGUUGGAGGGCUUCCGCCCUUCAGUGCCGCAGCUAACGCAUUAAGCAUUCCGCCUGGGGAGUACGACCGCAAGGUUGAAACUCAAAGGAAUUGACGGGGGCCCGCACAAGCGGUGGAG